rnacentral:rRNA from 1 species
CCUACGGGAGGCAGCAGUGGGGAAUAUUGGACAAUGGGCGAAAGCCUGAUCCAGCAAUGCCGCGUGAGUGAUGAAGGCCUUCGGGUCGUAAAGCUCUUUUACCAGGGAUGAUAAUGACAGUACCUGGAGAAUAAGCUCCGGCUAACUCCGUGCCAGCAGCCGCGGUAAUACGGAGGGAGCUAGCGUUGUUCGGAAUUACUGGGCGUAAAGAGUACGUAGGCGGUUAUUCAAGUCAGAGGUGAAAGCCCGGGGCUCAACCCCGGAACUGCCUUUGAAACUAGAUAACUAGAGUCUUGGAGAGGUUAGUGGAAUUCCGAGUGUAGAGGUGAAAUUCGUAGAUAUUCGGAAGAACACCAGUGGCGAAGGCGACUAACUGGACAAGUACUGACGCUGAGGUACGAAAGCGUGGGGAGCAAACAGGAUUAGAUACCCUGGUAGUCCACGCCGUAAACGAUGAUAACUAGUUGUUCGGUCACUUGGUGACUGAGUGACGCAGCUAACGCAUUAAGUUAUCCGCCUGGGAUACGGUCGCAAGNUUAAACUUAAAUGAAUUGACCGGNUGUAGAGUUGCGAGCGACGACGAGGAGAG